rnacentral:rRNA from 1 species
AGAGUUUGAUCAUGGCUCAGGGUAAACGCUGGCGGCGUGCCUAAAACAUGCAAGUCGAACGAGACCUUCGGGUCUAGUGGCAGACGGCUGAGUAACGCGUGGGUGACAUACCCGUUGGUGGGGAAUAACUGCCCGAAAGGGUGGCUAAUUCCGCAUACGUCGUGUGGCUCGUGCUACACGAGAAAGCAGCAAUGCGCCGAUGGACUGGCCCGCGUUCGAUUAGCUGGUUGGUGGAGUAACGGCCUACCAAGGCGACGAUCGAUAGCUGGUCUUAGAGGAUGAUCAGCCAGACUGGGACUGAGACACGGCCCAGACUCCUACGGGAGGCAGCAGUUAGGAAUUUUGGGCAAUGGGCGAAAGCCUGACCCAGCAACGCCGCGUGGGUGACGAAGGCCUUCGGGUUGUAAAGCCCUUUUCUGGGGGAAGAUGAUGACGGUACCCCAGGAAGAAGCACCGGCUAACUACGUGCCAGCCGCCGCGGUAAUAC